UACGAAGGGGGCUAGCGUUGUUCGGAAUCACUGGUCGUAAAGGGCGCGUAGGCGGCCGAUCAAGUCGGGGGUGAAAGCCUGUGGCUCAACCACAGAAUUGCCUUCGAUACUGUUUGGCUUGAGACGGGAAGAGGUAAGUGGAACUGCGAGUGUAGAGGUGAAAUUCGUAGAUAUUCGCAAGAACACCAGUGGCGAAGGCGGCUUACUGGUCCGGUUCUGACGCUGAGGCGCGAAAGCGUGGGGAGCAAACAGG
rnacentral:rRNA from 1 species